AUUGAACGCUGGCGGCAGGCCUAACACAUGCAAGUCGAGCGGAUGAAGGGAGCUUGCUCCUGGAUUCAGCGGCGGACGGGUGAGUAAUGCCUAGGAAUCUGCCUGGUAGUGGGGGAUAACGUCCGGAAACGGGCGCUAAUACCGCAUACGUCCUGAGGGAGAAAGUGGGGGAUCUUCGGACCUCACGCUAUCAGAUGAGCCUAGGUCGGAUUAGCUAGUUGGUGGGGUAAAGGCCUACCAAGGCGACGAUCCGUAACUGGUCUGAGAGGAUGAUCAGUCAGACUGGAAGUGAGACACGGUCCAGACUCCUACGGGAGGAAGCAGUGGGGAAUAUUGGACAAUGGGCGAAAGCCUGAUCCAGCAAUGCCGCGGGUGUGAAGAAGGUCUUCGGAUUGUAAAGCACUUUAAGUUGGGAGGAAGGGAAGUAAGUUAAUACCUUGCUGUUUUGACGUUACCAACAGAAUAAGCACCGGCUAACUUCGUG
rnacentral:rRNA from 1 species